GACGAACGCUGGCGGCGUGCUUAACACAUGCAAGUCGAACGGAAAGGCCCUGCUUUUGUGGGGUGCUCGAGUGGCGAACGGGUGAGUAACACGUGAGUAACCUGCCCUUGACUUUGGGAUAACUUCAGGAAACUGGGGCUAAUACCGGAUAGGAGCUCCUGCUGCAUGGUGGGGGUUGGAAAGUUUCGGCGGUUGGGGAUGGACUCGCGGCUUUCAGCUUGUUGGUGGGGUAGUGGCUUACCAAGGCUUUGACGGGUAGCCAGCCUGAGAGGGUGACCGGCCACAUUGGGACUGAGAUACGGCCCAGACUCCUACGGGAGGCAGCAGUGGGGAAUAUUGCACAAUGGGCGGAAGCCUGAUGCAGCAACGCCGCGUGCGGGAUGACGGCCUUCGGGUUGUAAACCGCUUUCGCCUGUGACGAAGCGUGAGUGACGGUAAUGGGUAAAGAAGCACCGGCUAACUACGUG
rnacentral:rRNA from 1 species